rnacentral:rRNA from 1 species
GACGAACGCUGGCGGCGUGCUUAACACAUGCAAGUCGAACGGAAAGGCCCUGCUUGUGUGGGGUUCCCGAGUGGCGAAGGGGUGAGUAACACGUGAGUAACCUUCCCUGGACUUUGUGAUAACUUCAGGAAACUGCUGAUAAUACCGGAGAGGAGCUCCUGCUGCAUGGUGGGGUUUGGAAAGUUUCGGCGGUUGGGGAUCGACUCGCGGGUAACCAGCUUGUGGGGUGAGGAGUGGCUUACGAAGCGAUUGACGGGUAGCCGGCCUGAGAGCGUGACCGGCGACCUUGGGCCUGCGAGACGGACCAGAGUCGAAUGGGGGGCAGCAGUGGGGAGUAUUGUCCAAUGGGGGGGAGCGUGAUGAGGCAACGCCGCGUGCGGGAUGACGGCCUUCGGGUUGUAAACCGCUUUAGCCUGUGACGAAGCGUGAGUGACGGUAAUGGGUGAAGAAGCACCGGCUAACUACGUG